GGAAACCUCAACGAGAAAUGUCUGCCAAAAAAACUGGACAACCCCUAAGGUUACAUAUGGGCGACCCCGGUCACCAAGAUAAGAGCUAUCAACUCACAGGGCUCUCUCCAAGUGUAGUUCCACAGACACAAAAAUGUGCUGCCGGGAUAAUAACGCUGCAAGCCCAAGCCUGGACAUCCUACACCUUAUCCCUAAUGUCUUCCAGACUGGAGCCCACAGGAAUCAGCAAAAAAAAAAAAAGAAAAAUUAUAAUAAUAUUUUUUAACCUAAAACAUCAGGGCGAUAAAUAGGACUAGAACUCAUGGUUAUUCUGUGAACGCUUUUGUAUCCAUAGCAUGAAGGUGAUCCUUAUAUCAGAAAUCGAAGAUACAAGCAGGUUUACUGGAAUCGGCCGGAGAUCAAUCAAUGCUCCUGGAUGGACCCACAGUGGAUCAUAUUCAUUCUGCUUACUUUUGGGAAUUUCUGGCUUGAGACUUGGCUUCAGUCUUCUGCACCGUUUAUAAAAGUUACUUGCAACAUUGAGGACUGUGGGUGGUGGAAACUAAUCUAUUGCUUAUGAUAUUCUGAUAUAUUCUGAUUCUGUGUAUUUAUGCAAAAGAGGUUUGUACCCGAGCCAUGGCAAAAGGGAAUCAUUUCUGCCACCAAACUAUUGAUUUCAGAUGAUUUAUGUUAUUUUGCUUUACAGGGAGAAGUGCAAAUCCGUGCAAACCUACUGAACACGAGGUUGACCACGCCACUGCACACAAUGGGGCCUUUCUCAUCAUGUUCUAGUAUGGA